UACGUAGGUGGCAAGCGUUAUCCGGAUUUAUUGGGCGUAAAGGGAACGCAGGCGGUCUUUUAAGUCUGAUGUGAAAGCCUUCGGCUUAACCGGAGUAGUGCAUUGGAAACUAGGAGACUUGAGUGCAGAAGAGGAGAGUGGAACUCCAUGUGUAGCGGUGAAAUGCGUAGAUAUAUGGAAGAACACCAGUGGCGAAAGCGGCUCUCUGGUCUGUAACUGACGCUGAGGGUCGAAAGCGUGGGUAGCAAACAGG
rnacentral:rRNA from 1 species